rnacentral:misc_RNA from 1 species
GGUAUAAGAUGGAAGCAUUGGAAGUGUUUUUUUUUUCUCCAUUUUAGGUUCAUUCCUAAUGGUCAUACUAUCUCAACCCAUAUCACGGGCACCUUUAGGGAGUGACAGGAUGCUACUAGUUACACAUGGAAGGAUGUCUCUCCAUCUACUCGUGACUUCUACUGGCAGGAAUUUAUGGGGUUGCACAAGAUGUAUGGGAUAGCUGGAU